rfam:Triticum aestivum genome assembly, contig: Triticum_aestivum_CS42_TGACv1_scaffold_032844_1BL
GAGGGUGAUGAUUUCAUAUUUGUCGCCCCAGUCUUAGGAUCCGCUUUGGUGGAUCUGUGCUGAUUGGCAUACUAAUCUGACUC